rnacentral:tRNA from 1 species
GGGAGUGUGGCUCAGUGGUAGAGCAGGUGCUUAGCUUGCAUAAGGUCCUGGGUUCAAGUCCCAGCACCCA